rnacentral:rRNA from 1 species
AGAAUCAACGCUGGCGGCGUGACUAACACAUGCAAGUCGAACGAGAAAGUGGAGCAAUCCAUGAGUACAGUGGCGACCGGGUGAGUAACACGUGACUAACCUACCUUUGAGUGGGGGAUAACAUCGGGAAACCGAUGCUAAUACCGCAUAACAUCGCAAGAUCAAAGCAGCAAUGCGCUUAAAGAGGGGGUCGCGGCUGAUUAGCUAGUUGGCGGGGUAACGGCCCACCAAGGCGAAGAUCGGUAUCCGGCCUGAGAGGGCGCACGGACACACUGGAACUGAAACACGGUCCAGACUCCUACGGGAGGCAGCAGUGGGGAAUUUUGCGCAAUGGGGGAAACCCUGACGCAGCAACGCCGCGUGGAGGAUGAAGUCCCUUGGGACGUAAACUCCUUUCGACCGGGACGAUUAUGACGGUACCGGAUGAAGAGGCACCGGCUAACUCUGUGCCAGCAGCCGCGGUAAUACAGAGGGUGCAAGCGUUGUUCGGAAUUAUUGGGCGUAAAGGGUGCGUAGGCGGUGCGGUAAGUCUGUUGUGAAAUCUCCGGGCUCAACUCGGAGCCUGCAACGGAAACUGCCGUGCUGGAGUAUGGGAGGGGUGAGUGGAAUUCCCGGUGUAGCGGUGAAAUGCGUAGAUAUCGGGAGGAACACCUGUGGCGAAAGCGGCUCACUGGACCAUUACUGACGCUGAUGCACGAAAGCUAGGGGAGCAAACAGGAUUAGAUACCCUGGUAGUCCUAGCCCUAAACGAUGAUCGCUUGGUGUGACAGGUACCCAAUCCUGUUGUGCCGGAGCUAACGCGUUAAGCGAUCCGCCUGGGGAGUACGGUCGCAAGGCUGAA